ACAGAGGUGGCAAGCGUUGUUCGGAAUUACUGGGCGUAAAGGGCGCGUAGGCGGUUUCGUAAGUCCCGUGUGAAAGCCCCCGGCUCAACUGGGGAACUGCACGGGAAACUGCGAGGCUUGAGUUCGGGAGAGGGAAGCGGAAUUCCGGGUGUAGCGGUGAAAUGCGUAGAUAUCCGGAGGAACACCGGUGGCGAAGGCGGCUUCCUGGACCGACACUGACGCUGAGGCGCGAAAGCUAGGGGAGCAAACGGGAUUAGAUACCCCGGUAGUCCUAGCUGUAAACGAUGAGUGCUGGGUGUAGGGGGUGUUAACCCCUCCUGUGCCGAAGCUAACGCAUUAAGCACUCCGCCUGGGGAGUACGGUCGCAAGGCUG
rnacentral:rRNA from 1 species